rnacentral:rRNA from 1 species
GAUGAACGCUGGCGGCGUGCUUAACACGUGCAAGUCGAACGGUGAAGCAGGAGCUUGCUCUUGUGGAUCAGUGGCGAACGGGUGAGUAACACGUGAGCAACCUGCCCUGACUCUGGGAUAAGCGCUGGAAACGGCGUCUAAUACUGGAUAUGUGAUGUGACCGCAUGGUCUGCAUCUGGAAAGAAUUUCGGUUGGGGAUGGGCUCGCGGCCUAUCAGCUUGUUGGUGAGGUAAUGGCGCACCAAGGCGUCGACGGGUAGCCGGCCUGAGAGGGUGACCGGCCACACUGGGACUGAGACACGGGCCAGACUCCUACGGGAGGCAGCAGUGGGGAAUCUUGCGCAAUGGGCGAAAGCCUGACGCAGCAACGCCGCGUGGGGGAUGACGGCCUUCGGGUUGUAAACCUCUUUCGACAUCGACGAAGGGGCCCUGUUGUGGGGUUUUGACGGUAGGUGUAGAAGAAGCACCGGCUAACUACGUGCCAGCCGCCGCAGUAA